UUGACCUCGGAUCAGGUAGGGAUACCCGCUGAACUUAAGCAUAUCAAUAAGCGGAGGAAAAGAAACCAACAGGGAUUGCCUCAGUAACGGCGAGUGAAGCGGCAAAAGCUCAAAUUUGAAAUCUGGCUCCUUCGGAGCCCGAGUUGUAAUUUGUAGAGGAUGCUUCGGGCGUAGCCGCGGUCUAAGUCCCCUGGAACGGGGCGUCGCAGAGGGUGAGAAUCCCGUCUUCGGCCGGCCGGCUUCGCCCGUGUGAAGCUCCUUCGACGAGUCGAGUUGUUUGGGAAUGCAGCUCUAAAUGGGUGGUAAAUUUCAUCUAAAGCUAAAUACUGGUCGGAGACCGAUAGCGCACAAGUAGAGUGAUCGAAAGAUGAAAAGCACUUUGAAAAGAGAGUUAAACAGCAUGUGAAAUUGUUGAAAGGGAAGCGCUUGCGACCAGAGUCGGCCGCGGGGGUUCAGCGGGCAUUCGUUGCCCGUGCACUCCCCCGUGGCCGGGCCAGCGUCGGUUUCGACGGCCGGUCAAAGGCCCCCGGAAUGUGUCGCCUCUCGGGGCGUCUUAUAGCCGGGGGUGCAAUGCGGCCAGUCGGGACCGAGGAACGCGCUUCGGCACGGACGCUGGCUUAAUGGUCGUAAGCGACC
rnacentral:rRNA from 1 species